GACGAAGGUGGCGAGCGUUGUUCGGAAUCACUGGGCAUAAAGCGCACGUAGGCGGUGCCGUAAGUCAGAUGUGAAAUCCCUCGGCCUAACCGAGGAACUGCGUCUGAUACUGCGGUGCUUGAGGAUCAGAGGGGUGCAUGGAAUUUCCGGUGGAGCGGUGAAAUGCGUUGAUAUCGGAAGGAACUCCGGCGGCGAAAGCGAUGCACUGGCUGAUUUCUGACGCUGAGGUGCGAAAGCCAGGGGAG
rnacentral:rRNA from 1 species